rnacentral:rRNA from 1 species
UACGGGGGGAGCAAGCGUUGUUCGGAUUUACUGGGCGUAAAGGGCGCGUAGGCGGCGCCGCAAGUCGGUUGUGAAAUCUCUGGGCUUAACCCAGAAAGGUCAACCGAUACUGCGGGGCUAGAGUGCAGAAGGGGCAACUGGAAUUCUCGGUGUAGCGGUGAAAUGCGUAGAUAUCGAGAGGAACACCUGCGGCGAAGGCGGGUUGCUGGGCUGACACUGACGCUGAUGCGCGAAAGCUAGGGGAGCGAACGGG